rnacentral:piRNA from 1 species
AACCUUUUCUGUGGAUGCUUGGAAU